GGUGUGGCCUUGUUGGAGGGAGUGUGUCACUGGGGAUGGGCUUUCAGGUUUCAGAAACCCAAGCCAGGCCCAGUGGCUCUCUCCUCCUGCUGCCUGCAGAUCC
rnacentral:miRNA from 1 species